rnacentral:misc_RNA from 1 species
GAUGAAGAACGUAGCGAAAUGCGAUAAGUAGUGUGAAUUGCAGAAUUCAGUGAAUCAUCGAAUCUUUGAACGCACAUUGCGCCCCAUGGUAUUCCGUGGGGCAUGCCUGUUCGAGCGUCAUUUACCCCCUCAAGCUCCGCUUGGUGUUGGAGACUGGCGGGGCGCAUGCGCCCGGAGCCACUCCCAAAUACAAUGACGGCGGCGACGAUGACCCCCGGUACACUGAGCUUCUCACCGAGCACGUGCUGGAAGGGUCUUGUGGCCACGGUCUGCCUCCCCUCUGGGAGAAACGGAUUUCAUCCACCAAGGUUGACCUCGGAUCAGGUAGGGAUACCCGCUGAACUUAAGCAUAUCAAUAAGCGGAGGA